GUCUUUCUUUUAAUUAAACAUAGGUAAGUAAUUCUAUUUAAGUAUAAGUAUCUUUAAAAAAAAACAUCAAUCGACUCUUAUCUGUUACUAGUUCCAGUUUCAGAGUAUAAAAGCCGGGUACACAGCUAGCCAGGUUACGUUAGGUAAUAAAUAAAUAAAUAUGUAGGGACAAUCUUACACAGAUUGGCCCCAAACUAAUCAAAGCUUGUACUAUGGGUACUAGGCGACGUUAAACAUACUUAUUUAGAUAAAUAUAUAUUUACGUAUAUACAAAGAAAACACGCAUGCCUUAGGAACAAAUAUCUGUGUUCAUCACACAAAGAAAUGCCCUUACGCGAUUCAAACUCGGGACCAUCGGCUUCAUAGGCAGGGUCACUACCCACUAGGCCAAACCGGUCGGCAAAAGGUAAAGAUAAUUAGGUAAAGACAAUGAAUAAUUAAACGUAUUAUAAAUUGACACCAAUAUCCAUCAAAUAAGUAGUAUAACUAGGUAUGCUAAGAGCGGGCUUCAGGCCAUUACGUCGCACCUUUAGAAUGAAACUAAUUUGACUCAAAAAGUACGACUACUUUAUAUAUGUAGUUUGGUAGAACAGUAAGAACUCACUAUAUGUGUCUCUUUUUCAUGCGGUGAAAUCCCCCCACCCGGAAAGGGUAGCGACGCCCAUUUUAUCGACUCUCGAGUCGACUCCAAUCUGAUACUAAUAAAACCAUACGGCAAUAAUGAGGAUGCAUCGACAUAAGAAGAAUCGAUCAUGGGCAAGAUAAAGUUCAAGAAAAAAGCAAAUAUAAUGUGUACUUGUGUGUAGUCAAAGAAAGUUGAAAAAUAAAGCAUAAUUAAUGGCCAUAGAAUACAGAACCGAUACACGAACAUUAAGACUAUUAAAAAUAGACAUAUAGGUUGAUCGUACUACUCGUACUAAUGUAUUUCUUUUGUUCAAUUAUAUUGCAUUAAAGUUAGAUUCUCUAGGUAUAUAUUAUUCAUAGGUUCUGUAUUCUAUAUGAAUUGUUUUAGUGUAAUUAUUGUACUAAAUACCGUUGACCGCCUGUCAACAGUAUUUAUUUCUACAUUACUAUCACAGAUUUUAGGCCCUACAGUAGUUUUUGAAUUAGUAUUUACUAUGGACAAAUAUAGCGAAAUGUGAGUUUUUACCUAAAAUAUCAAUCCAGGAGAACAUAUUGGAGAGACUAGAGAUAAUACACCGCUUUAAGGGCGGUCGCACACGGGAUUGACAUCUGGCGUCUAGAUGGUGGGUGGACCUCAGCGAAUUUCAAAGAAAUAUUUAUAAACAUCCAAUGACGUUCGGCUCGGAUACCAGAUCUUCAAUCUCCUGAUUCCUGUGGAGUCUCCAGGUUCCAUCCUCUCCACGUGUGGGUCCUAGGAUUUUUUGCGCUGCCAGACUCCGAUGACUCGGACACGUAGUCCAGAUGGGUGAGGAUCGUGCAGCCUGGAGGGCGUACUCUGAAGUUCCAAAUGGCCAAAGACCGUCUAGACAUCCUAGGUAGGUCCCGCUGGAGAGACGAAAUGCAAAAAGACCUUAGCGAACUCGGCGCCGUCGACUAGAUGGAAACGGUUUUGGACAGAGAAGCAUGGCGGUCUUUGGUGUCGGAGGCCAAGAUCCACUUCGGGUCGCUGCGCCACAGCAGUAAAUAAGUAUUUAUAAACAUAUUGUACCUUCUGUGUACCUAACCCAAAACGAGAUAUUUAAGAAAAAGUCCACCCGCCAUUCUGACGUCAGGAUUGCGGUUGGACAUAUGAAAUCUUGCAUUAUACCGCACUAAAAGUAUGCAGUUAUAUGGUACAGUCGCCAUCAGAUAUAUCGGAGUGGCCGAGGUGCUCAAACAUAUCUAAACACGCACUCUAACCCCUUGACAGUAGAGGCAUGUUCAGAUAUUCGUGGGUACCUUGGCCGCUCCGAUAUAUAUGAUGGUGACUGUACCUUCAGUGUACCUCUGUAAAUAGAAAUAGAAACCGGUGUACCUCUCCCCAAAACAAGCUAGGCUAAGCUCAUGCACAAUAUAACUGCAUACUUUUAGUGCGGUAUAAUGCAAGAUUUCAUAGGUCCACCCGCCAUGCUGACGUCAGGUUGGCGGGUUGACCGUUUUGUAAAAUAUCUCGUUUUGGGGAAAGGUACACUGGUUUCUAUUAAAGGUACACUGAGGUACACAGGAAGGUACAAUAUGUUUAUAAAUAUUUCUUUGAAAUUCGCUGAGGUCCACCGCCAUCCUGACGCUUACCAUAUAUCUAAGGACCGACCUUAGGGGCAAUAACGAUAGUGCUAGUUCAGUUGUUUCAUUCACAAAUUCGAGCCAAUCGUGCUGUCUAACGCAACUAGAUGCGAUCAAUCGCGUGCGUAAUGCGAACUCAUCAACCAAUCACGUUGUGGUACUUGUGGCGUUAGACUGCACGAUUGGCUCAAUCAAACUCGUGUGCGUAACACCGCUGUACUGGUCUCAUUCUUAUUGCCCGUAAGGCCCGUCCUCAGAUAUAUUAUGUCAAUGACACAGUCGCGAUUUUAAAAAAUCCACAUCGCUUCUGCUACCAAAUUGUUGAGCAUAACGUUUUCCUAUCCAUAGGUUCCAUCUGUCCAGUAGGAUCCACCAUCUCGAUCCACCAGAUUGAAGAGAUUGUUACUUAACUGAUGGAUCGAGAUGAUGAAACCUACUGAAUAGGGCGGGUCGAUUGGCUGAAUUGGAUAUAACAAAGUACGCUUAUAUGAAACACUGCUCCGGUGUGCGAGUGAGACAGUCAGGCCAAUUUGAACUUGCAUUUGACAGAAAACUGAUUGUCUCCAUCGAACGCUACCAGUUCCAUUGCCGGCCUCUUCGCUGCCUUCUAUAGUGGUUCAAUCCUACCUUGCUUGUGAAUAAAAAAGGGGCGUGCACACCGAUAUUAGAGUAAUAUUGGAAUCAUAUCAGUUAGUUGCGGGCGUCUCGCUCGCACAAAUACAUGCAUAUAAGUGCGAAAUGAACGCACGAAUGACAGCUAACUGGUAUCAUUCCAAUAUUAUUCUAAAAUUGGUUUAACCCUUUACCAGGCCAAGGGAUAUAUUCCACCCACAUCUUAUAUCGUUUACCGUAGUCAGGUUUUAACUCCAAACCACCUACAAAAUAUUUUGUCAAUCCCUGAAAAUAUUAUUUUAUGAUCUUCAUUCAGAACACGCUUCUAAAUUGCGUAAUAUAUCUUCGGCAGCCGUUUAAAUUAACUUGAACGCUAAUUUCAGUAAACUACGGAGAAAUUCGAACACUUUCCAUAAUUUCUAUGAAACAGAAGUACAUAGGUCGAACAAUUUUUUGAUAUUUUGUAGAUUUUGAGUGUUGAAAGCUAAUGUAAUCGUAAACAUUGCUAAAUAUUCAUGCAUUAUUGUGUAUGACCAGAAUUAGGAUGUGGGUUGACAUUAUCCCAUGGCCUUAUUAGAGUUUAACUGUGUGGGAGCUAUUUUUCCCAUGGCCCGGUAAAUUGUCUUGUCAUGUCAUAAAAACUCACGUAAGUAAGUAGUGAUUGAUAUAAUGUUUCGUAGGAGAUUUGGAGUUAAACCUUGACUAUUAUAACCGAUAUAAGAUGUGGGUGGAAUAUAUCCCUUGGCCUGAUCAAGAAUAUAAUAAGACAAAAUCUAGUAUGACAGUUCAUUACUUAGACAGGCGAUGGGAUAACCGUAACCCA